CAUCCUGCCCAGCAAGCAGAGGUUUCCCCUUACUGGGCUUUUGGGGGGCACUUUUCACUUCUAAUGUGCUCGAUUUUGCUUCGUUUUGUUCUGAGUUCUGGGUUCAUGUUGCCACGCAACCACUACGCAGCUGAGCCGUCUACAUCCUGACCUGUAGGAUCACGAGGAACGUUACUCAGCCGUGGGAAGGAACGGAGCUCCGACCCCUGCUACGACACGGAUGGACCUUGGAAACAUCACACAGGGAAAGAAGCCGGACCACAAGAGUCCACAUACUGUAGGAUUCCAUCGUAUGAAAUACUCAGAACAGAGUUUGUCUUCGACCUGGACACCUCUCGCCUUUGCUGCCACCACGCUGUCCUCUGGACCAUGGCAUCAGCCUCCUCACCCGUCUCCCUGCUGUCUCUUGUCCAUUCAGCUCUCAGAGAAUCCUUCUAAAACAUAAUGGAGAGCGUGCCUUCCUUACUCUCAUCCCUCUGCAGGCUUCCUAUCUUCUGUUUAGAAGACAAUUUAAAGGCCUUUCCACAUCUGCCAUGGUUCUUCCUGACCUAGCUCUCCCUGCCCUCACUCGGUACCCCAGCCACAUUGGCUGCUUUGUUGUUCCUGGAGCACCCAGUUCUCAGGUCGCUGGACCUUUGCGCAUGCUUUCCCUUCAUUCUAUUUCGCUCUUCACUCGGAUACCCGUAUUGCUCACUUUACCUGGGACCUGAUCACACCUCAUCUCCUUAGAGAGGUCUUUGUUGACCACCUUAUUUCAAAUAGCCUCUGGGCAUCUGGGUGGC